rnacentral:rRNA from 1 species
CGUGUAGGCGGUUUGGUAAGUGGGAUGUGAAAUGCCCCGGCUCACCCGGGGACCUGCAUCCCAAACUACCUGGCUUGAGUAUGGGAGAGGAUGAGGGAAUUCCUGGUGUAGCGGUGAAAUGCGUAGAUAUCAGGAGGAACACCGGUGGCGAAAGCGCUCAUCUGGCCCAAUACUGACGCUGAGGCGCGAAAGCUAGGGAGCAAACG